rnacentral:rRNA from 1 species
CGCGGCCUAUCAGCUUGUUGGUGAGGUAAUGGCUCACCAAGGCGACGACGGGUAGCCGGCCUGAGAGGGCGACCGGCCACACUGGGACUGAGACACGGCCCAGACUCCUACGGGAGGCAGCAGUGGGGAAUAUUGCACAAUGGGCGAAAGCCUGAUGCAGCGACGCCGCGUGAGGGAUGACGGCCUUCGGGUUGUAAACCUCUUUCAGCAGGGAAGAAGCGAAAGUGACGGUACCUGCAGAAGAAGCACCGGCUAACUACGUGCCAGCAGCCGCGGUAAUACGUAGGGUGCGAGCGUUGUCCGGAAUUAUUGGGCGUAAAGAGCUUGUAGGCGGUUUGUCGCGUCUGCUGUGAAAAUCCGGGGCUCAACCCCGGACUUGCAGUGGGUACGGGCAGACUAGAGUGUGGUAGGGGAGACUGGAAUUCCCGGUGUAGCGGUGAAAUGCGCAGAUAUCAGGAGGAACACCGAUGGCGAAGGCAGGUCUCUGGGCCACUACUGACGCUGAGAAGCGAAAGCAUGGGGAGCGAACAGGAUUAGAUACCCUGGUAGUCCAUGCCGUAAACGUUGGGAACUAGGUGUGGGUCUCAUUCCACGAGAUCCGUGCCGCAGCUAACGCAUUAAGUUCCCCGCCUGGGGAGUACGGA